AACACAAUCUACCCGAUUUCUCAAACCCUAAAUAAACUUUCAUUUUCAUCCAAACUCUUUCUCUCUCUUUCCCCGGCGGCUCUCAGGCGAUUUCCGGCGGUGACCUCAGUUCUCUCCGGCGAGUCUUCCUCUUCCGGUGUUCUCUGCGCCGAACUCUUCGUUUCUCCCCUCCGGCGACGAGACGAGCCGAGACGACCCGAGUCUUCCUCUUCCUGUCUUCUUCUCCGGCGGCUCUGCAAAUUCCGUUAAUUUCCGGCACGACCCAAGCUCUCUCCGGUUUCUCCUCCUCCGGCGUCUCUCCUCGAGCUCUCUCCUCCUCCGCCGUGAUAUCCUCUCGAGCUCUCUCUUCCUCCGGCAACGGUGACGAUAGUCUCGAGCUUCUCUCGGUUUGACGAUUCCGGCGAUGAUUCCGGCGACGAAUCCGAGAACCACAUUUACAAAUCCGGCUUUGAGGUUGCUCAAAAGAUAGGAGCGAAGGUAUGAAGCAAUGCAUAUUUGAGAAAUACCUCGGACAUGUUCAGGAUUUAGCUCUCUUUUUUUGUAUUGUGAGCAGUUUUGUACAUUCGGUUCUCUUUUGUAGUAUAAUGUAUGUGAUAUAUGUUGCCGCUUAUGUAAACAACCAGAAACGAAUGUACGUAUAAUAAAAAGAUCAAUAAAGCUUCAU